CGUGUCGUGAGAUGUUGGGUUAAGUCCCGUAACGAGCGCAACCCUUAUGACUAGUUGCCAGCAUUCAGUUGGGCACUCUAGUAAGACUGCCGGUGACAAACCGGAGGAAGGUGGGGACGACGUCAAAUCAUCAUGCCCCUUAUGACCUGGGCUACACACGUGCUACAAUGGAUGGUACAACGAGUUGCGAACCCGCGAGGGCAAGCUAAUCUCUUAAAGCCAUUCUCAGUCCGGACUGUAGGCUGCAACUCGCCUACACGAAGUCGGAAUCGCUAGUAAUCGCGGAUCAGCAUGCCGCGGUGAAUACGUUCCCGGGCCUUGUACACACCGCCCGUCACACCAUGAGAGUUUGUAACACCCGAAGCCGGUGGGGUAACCUUUUAGGAGCUAGCCGUCUAAGGUGGGACAGAUGAUUAGGGU
rnacentral:rRNA from 1 species